rnacentral:rRNA from 1 species
UACGUAGGGUGCGAGCGUUGUUCGGAUUCAUUGGGCGUAAAGGGUGCGUAGGCGGCGCGGUAAGUCGGGUGUGAAAUCUCGGAGCUUAACUCCGAAACUGCAUUCGAUACUGCCGUGCUUGAGGACUGGAGAGGAGACUGGAAUUUACGGUGUAGCGGUGAAAUGCGUAGAUAUCGUAAGGAAGACCAGUGGCGAAGGCGGGUCUCUGGACAGUUCCCUGACGCUGAGGCACGAAGGCAGGGGGA